rnacentral:ncRNA from 1 species
CAGAGUAGGAAGCCGAGCGUAAAGUGCCUGUGGGACGGGGAGUUGCCUGCAGGACGAAAAUGCAUUGUGCAUUGCGGUUCGGUUUCCGCAUCCCGCUGC